rnacentral:rRNA from 1 species
GAUGAACGCUGGCGGCGUGCCUAAUACAUGCAAGUCGAGCGAACAGACGAGGAGCUUGCUCCUCUGACGUUAGCGGCGGACGGGUGAGUAACACGUGGAUAACCUACCUAUAAGACUGGGAUAACUUCGGGAAACCGGAGCUAAUACCGGAUAAUAUAUUGAACCGCAUGGUUCAAUAGUGAAAGACGGUUUUGCUGUCACUUAUAGAUGGAUCCGCGCCGCAUUAGCUAGUUGGUAAGGUAACGGCUUACCAAGGCAACGAUGCGUAGCCGACCUGAGAGGGGGAUCGGCCACACUGGAACUGAGACACGGUCCAGACUCCUACGGGAGGCAGCAGUAGGGAAUCUUCCGCAAUGGGCGAAAGCCUGACGGAGCAACGCCGCGUGGGUGAUGAAGGUCUUCGGAUCGUAAAACUCUGUUAUUAGGGAAGAACAAAUGCGUAAGUAACUAUGCACGUCUUGACGGUACCUAAUCAGAAAGCCACGGCUAACUACGUG